rnacentral:tRNA from 1 species
CAGUUGGAUAGAGCAACGGACUUCUAAUCCGUAGGCCGAGGGUUCGAAUCCUUCCUGGCGCG